rnacentral:tRNA from 1 species
GCCUUCGUGGUGUUGCGGUCAGCACGCUCGACGCGUAUUCGAGAGGUCCGUGGUUCGAUUCCCGGCGAGGGCA